UACGUAGGCAGCGAGCGUUGUUCGGAGUUACUGGGCGUAAAGCGUGCGUAGGCGGUGUCUUAAGUUUGGUGUGAAAUCUCCCGGCUUAACUGGGAGGGUGCGCCGAAGACUGGAAGGCUUGAGUAUGGGAGAGGUAAGCGGAAUUCCUGGUGUAGCGGUGAAAUGCGUAGAUAUCAGGAGGAACACCUGCGGUGUAGACGGCUUACUGGACCAUAACUGACGCUGAGGCACGAAAGCGUGGGUAGCAAACAGG
rnacentral:rRNA from 1 species